GGGGUUGUGGCUCAAAUGGUAGAGUGCUUGCCUAGCAUGAGCAAGGCACAGGGUUUGAUUCUCAGCACCA
rnacentral:tRNA from 1 species